AUGAGAUUGACCACUCCAAGAGUUGGAGAAGAAUGAGUCACUGUAUUUCAAUUUAGCAAAACCUUGGCCAGGGUAAUCCAUAAGAUGGAUUUGAUAUUUUGAAAUACAAUGUGGAUAACCUGAUCAGAGUUGACAAUUGAACUCUGAGAUGUCCUAUGAUCAUUUUGGUCAAGGGGAUAAAUUAUAUGAAAACUAUAUCCGCAUGGGUUCUAAGGAUGUUGUUCUACACAUUCGACCUAUCCGGUCGUCGGGUACCAUUGCUAGAUGGUCACUUCGAUUGGUACAGAAAUUUAUUCCUGUGCUACUGACUUAGGUUCGGACCUAUGAGGUUACACAUAUUAGAGUUCAUGAUCCGAUCGGAUGGUUGAUCAACGAUUAAGAAUCGUUCUAGGAUUAAAUGAUCAAUACGAUUGACAUUUAACCCAGUGCAAGUGUUGCAGGAGGAUCGAUUAGCAAUUUGAUUGCUAAUUGGCUUAAUUUGAUUAAGCCAAUGGGUUGAAAUUAAGUCUAUUUAAAUAUAAUUUAAUU
rnacentral:lncRNA from 1 species